rnacentral:RNase_P_RNA from 1 species
GGUGUGGGUCAGGUGGCCGCUCGCCGGGCUUGAGGCUUCCCGGUGAGAGGAAAGUCCGGACUCCAGAGGGCAGGGUGCUGGGUAACGCCCAGGCGGAGUGAUCCGACAUGAGCGCCACAGAAAACAAACCGCCACGGGAUACGCUAUUCAACCGUGAAUGGGUUCCCGGGGUAAGGGUGAAAAGGUGGGGUAAGAGCCCACCGCGUCCAUGGUGACAUGGAUGGCAGGGCAAGCAUCACCCGGAGCAAGACCAAAUAGGAGGACGCUCCGAACGGCCUGAUCGGCUUCCGUGUUGUAAGCCUCCUUGUGAAGCUGAUUCGGUGGUGUUCGGGAGAGGUUGGCCCGACCAAAGUUCUCGGGUAGGUCGCUGGAGGCGUGUGGUAACAUACGCUGUAGAGACAUGGCUGCCACCAUGUUGAUCAGUCAGCAUGGAACAGAAUCCGGCUUAUCGACCCACACCCAUA